rnacentral:rRNA from 1 species
UGGGGAAUUUUGGACAAUGGGGGAAACCCUGAUCCAGCCAUCCCGCGUGUGCGAUGAAGGCCUUCGGGUUGUAAAGCACUUUUGGCAGGAAAGAAACGUCAUGGGUUAAUACCCCGUGAAACUGACGGUACCUGCAGAAUAAGCACCGGCUAACUACGUGCCAGCAGCCGCGGUAAUACGUAGGGUGCAAGCGUUAAUCGGAAUUACUGGGCGUAAAGCGUGCGCAGGCGGUUCGGAAAGAAAGAUGUGAAAUCCCAGAGCUCAACUUUGGAACUGCAUUUUUAACUACCGGGCUAGAGUGUGUCAGAGGGAGGUGGAAUUCCGCGUGUGGCAGUGAAAUGCGUAGAUAUGCGGAGGAACACCGAUGGCGAAGCCAGCCUCCUGGGAUAACACUGACGCUCAUGCACGAAAGCGUGGGGAGCAAACAGG